rnacentral:rRNA from 1 species
AUUGAACGCUGGCGGCAGGCCUAACACAUGCAAGUCGAACGGUAACAGGAAGCAGCUUGCUUCUUUGCUGACGAGUGGCGGAAGGGUGAGGAAUGUCUGGGAAACUGCCUGAUGGAGGGGGAUAACUACUGGAAACGGUAGCUAAUACCGCAUAACGUCGCAAGACCAAAAAGGGGGACCUUCGGGCCUCUUGCCAUCGGAUGUGCCCAGAGGGGAUUAGUUAGUAGGUGGGGUAACGGCUCACCUAGGCGACGAUCCCUAGCUGGUCUGAGAGGAUGACCAGCCACACUGGAACUGAGACACGGCCCAGACUCCUACGGGAGGCAGCAGUGGGGAAUAUUGCACAAUGGGCGAAAGCCUGAUGCAGCCAUGCCGCGUGUAUGAAGAAGGCCUUCGGGUUGUAAAGUACUUUCAGCGGGGAGGAAGGGAGUAAAGUUAAUACCUGUGCUCAUUGACGUUACCCGCAGAAGAAGCACCGGCUAACUCCGUG